ensembl:misc_RNA Gm27316 predicted gene, 27316
GCUGGGCAGUGGUGGUGCACGCCUUUAAUCCCAGCACUCGGGAGGCAGAGGCAGGCAGAUUUCUGAGUUCGAGGCCAGCCUGGUCUACAGAGUGAGUUCCAGGACAGCCUGGGCUAUACAGAGAACCCCGGUCUCGAAAAAACAAAUAUAUAUAUAUAUAUAGUUGUUUUGUUUUGUAUGUUUUUCUAGACAGGGUUUCUCUGUGUAGCCUUGGCUGUCCUGAAACUCAAUCUGUAGACCAGGCUGGCCUUGAACUCACAGAGAUCCGCCUGCCUCU